rnacentral:tRNA from 1 species
GCCCGGGUGAUGGAACAGGCAGACAUGCAGGACUUAAAAUUCUGUGGGAGAAAUCCCGUGCGAGUUCGAGUCUCGCCCCGGGC